GACGAACCGUACGAACGUUAUUCGGAAUCACUGGGCUUAAAGGGUGCGUAGGCUGCGCGGAAAGUUGGGUGUAAAAUCCCUCGGCUCAACCGAGGAACUGCGCCCAAAACUGCCGUGCUCGAGGGAGACAGAGGUGAGCGGAACUUAGGGUGGAGCGGUGAAAUGCGUUGAUAUCCUAAGGAACACCGGUGGCGAAAGCGGCUCACUGGGUCUCUUCUGACGCUGAGGCACGAAAGCUAGGGUAGCGGAACGGG
rnacentral:rRNA from 1 species